ensembl:lncRNA
CAUCCUGUCUAUACAGGGCAUUAGCUGUUCGUUGGUGGCUGGGUUGGUUGGUUGGUUGAUUGGUUGGUUGGUUGGUUGAUUGGUUGGUUGGUUGGUUGGUUGGACAGCAAUUGCUUUUAUUCAGCUAGCCACUGAACUUGGAUAUUCAUGAAUUGUUGAAUCUGAACACAGUACAGAAGCUGUUGCUUGGCUAGAAAGAAAUUAGAGUUUGAAGACACAGAAAUUAGACUUGGACAUUCAGGAGCUGUUGGACCCUGACACAUUUGGUUCUAGCCAUAUAAAGGAGGGCCUGAUCAUGGAGCAGGACCCAGAGAGCCGGGACUCCAUCGAGAACUUUACCACUGACUAUAAGAUCAUAAGAACCCUGGGAAGGGGACGAUUUUCAGUGGUAAAAAUGGCCUACCACGUCCCAACCCUCACCUGUGUAGCUAUAAAAGUUCUCAAGAACACCGAGAAGUGCUCCUCAGUGAUGAGCAGGGAAGUUGACAUUCUAAAGUCCC